UACGUAGGGGGCGAGCGUUGUCCGGAGUACUGGGCGUAAAGCGCACGCAGGCGGUCUGCUAAGUUUGGAGUGACAGUUGGUGGCUUAACUGCCAAAGUGCUUCGAAAACUGACAGACUUGAGGGCUUCAGAGGGACACGGAAUUCCGGGUGGAGUGGUGAAAUGCGUAGAGAUCCGGAGGAACACCAAAGGCGAAGGCAGUGUCCUGGGGG
rnacentral:rRNA from 1 species